rnacentral:lncRNA from 1 species
AAAUGAACAAUGUACGUGAAUACGAAUCUUACAUUACUGGGUAACACAUUUGGGUGUAUGUGUACCAUGAGAAGAUAUGAUUUCUCGUCCACCCACAUCCACCCUCUUCAAUUUGGGCCUUCAGUUUGCAACUACAAAUUUUCAUUACAUUUCGAGGUGUUUAGUUAAGGGCUUACUUAAUUUAUAUUAGAACAAAUAACAAAACCAAUCAAUACAUGUAGCAUAUCUUGCCUUUUUGAUCACGCUAUCACACCGUCAAUAAGGGCGGUUAACAUAAAACUUCUCAGCAUUCGUAUUUUAUAGUCAGGUGAAAUUCUUGAAUUUUUGAACGAUGAACAACUGCAAAACAUUUGCCAGUGAUGUUUUCAUUAAUCAAGAUCAAAAGUUAGGGACUCGAAGACGAUUAGAUAUCAUCUUAGUCUCAACCAUAAAUGAUGCCGAACAGGGAUCGGUGGAUGUUAUUUUUAGGACUCCGUUGACACCUUAUGAGAAAUCAAAGUUUUUGGGUU